GAUUAGGUUGUAGGAGUACUGAUCUGUUGUUUUGUUUUGUUGAGAUGUGGAAGUUUUAGCUAGACUAAUGAGGAACUAGUUAACUAUGCCUCUUAAAAAGAUUAGGGAAGCUGUAAGAUUGUAGGUAAUAAAAUUUCUAUGAUUGAAUAAACUGAGGUCUAGAAUGGCUGUGUCACAAAACAGUAAUCACCUAGAGGAAGAAAAAAGAAGAAUCAUCUGACUGAGGAGUAGAGGAAAGCUAUUUUCUACUUCUUAAUUGAAGUUAAAAGUAAAUAUGUUCAUUAAUUAUCUGUCACUUGCUUGGAAUGUAGAAAAAGUUUUGUGUAUGUUGCAAGUAUUUGUCACUGAUUGCUUAACACACAGCAAAGGCAGUUAGUGUGGCCUAAGGGUUAGGAACUUGAGUGAAGUGUAGAGGAAAAGCCUCUCUAGCUGUAAUGCUGACUCUUCUUCUGUGGUUACACAUAAGACAUUGAGCCCCUGGCCCUAUCCAUCUCUAUGCAGUGUUUUGAAACUUGGGAUUGGCAAGAACAAUCUAAAUGCAGAGGAGGGUAUUAAGUUAUUGUAUUGGGGGCACUCAUAGAAGAAAUGAUUCAUCUGCUGGCGCCAAGGCUGAUGGCUAGAGGCUAUGAAACAUGCUGGAUUCUUGGGAUGGAAGAGUGUGUGGGCCAGCAAAGUUGCUGAAUCUGUGGGGGGGAAUGGAAUGAUCUCUACUUCCUCAGGCUGCGUGCACAGCAUGUUGUCACCCACCAAUUACUACAAGGCAUAUCCUUCUUUCCUCCUCCUCAACUUCUGCUACCAUAGACAGGCCAAGGACUUGUUAUAACUAGCUGAUUGAUAUAUUCUUCUUACUCAUCAGGAAGAUGGGUCUGGAUCAAAGCCCAAGAUCUAAUCAUUCUGGACUUUGGCAACAUUGAAAUACAGAUCCAGUUUGUUUAGCUUGCAACUUUUUUUGGUUAGAAUCUCUUACUGUAUAAAAUUGAGUUUAUGGAAGAGGCUCCAAAAAGCAAGAAAGACCAUGGUGUGCAUUUUCAGAUCAAUAACUGCUGUUGCACUGUCUUUACAAGGCAGGCCAAAAUAACUGUAUGUAAAGGAA
rnacentral:lncRNA from 7 species